rnacentral:lncRNA from 1 species
GUGGAGGAAGGAUCGGUAAAUCAGUAGGCAACACCACAGGCAUCCCAGGUUUACAUCCUGACGGUAUGACAAAAUUCGGAGGACUCAUACCUUGAGUUUCAGCCAGGUUACCAAGUGGAUUGGAUUCCAUCGGCUGUGUAGCAGGGACAUCAAUGAAAGGCUCAAUUGUUGUCUCCUUAUCUUCUAUUUGGAUUUGGCAGGCCAAGCCUGGCUAGUGAUUGUACGAUUUGGUGUGGAACAUUUUGUAGCAUUUUAGUGAUUUAGGUUUGCGAUGAAGAUGGAGAUUUAGGGGCUGGGUACGACAGAUUUAGGUUUCAGUGGAUUUAGGUUUGCGAUGAAGAUGGAGAUUUAGGGGCUGGGUACGAGAGAUUUAGGGCUGGGUAUGAGAGAGAAUUAUUUUUCCAAUUGGGAUUUAGGUUUGCGAUGAAGAUGGAAAUUUAGGGUCUAGAGAAGGGAUUUUGGGAGAGUGAAAAUAAUGGAGGGAGAUUUUGACAGAUAAUUUCAUUUAGGAGGGAGCUUGAAGCUUCCAUUACCUACGGCCAAAUAAAAGGGCUCAGUACGUAUAAUAAGCC